ensembl:lncRNA
AGGGGUGUGGAGGUGUGUGGUGGGGUGUGGAGGUGGUGUGGUAGGGUGUGGAGGUGGUGUAGUGGUUUGUGGAGGUGGUGUAGUGGUGUGUGGAGGUGGUGUAGGGGUGUGUGGAGGUGUGUGGUGGUGUGUGGUGGGGUGUGGAGGUGUGUGGUGGUGUGUGAGGUGGUGUAGUGGUGUGUGGAGGUGGUGUAGUGGUGUGUGGAGGUGUGUGGUGGGGUGUGGAGGUGGUGUAGUGGUGUGUGGAGGUGUGUGGUGGGGUGUGGAGGUGUGUGUGGUGUGUGGAGGUGGUGUAGUGGUGUGUGGAGGUGUGUGGUGGGUGUGUGGAGGUGGUGUAGUGGUGUGUGGUGGGGUGUGGAGGUGGUGUAGUGGUGUGUGGAGGUGGUGUAGUGGGUGUGGAGGUGGUGUAGUGGUGUGUGGAGGUGUGUGGUGGUGUGUGGAGGUGGUGUAGUGGUGUGUGGAGGUGGUGUAGUGGUGUGUGGAGGUGGUGUAGUGGUGUGUGGAGGUGUGUGGUGGUGUGUGGAGGUGUGUAGUGGUGUGUGGAGGCGUGUGGUGGGGUGUGGAGGUGGUGUAGUGGUGUGUGGAGGUGUGUGGAGGUGGUGUAGUGGUGUGUGGAGGUGUGUAGUGGUGUGUGGAGGUGUGUGGUGGCGUGUGGUGGGUGUGGAGGUGGUGUGGUGGUGUGUGGAGGUGUGUGGUGGAGGUGUGUAGUGGUGUGUGGAGGUGUGUGGUGGGUGUGGAGGUGGUGUAGUGGGGUGUGGAGGUGGUGUAGUGGUGUGUGGAGGUGGUGUAGUGGGGUUUGGAGGUGUGUGGAGGUGGUGUGGUGGGGUGUGGAGGUGGUGUGUGGAGGUGGUGUGUGGAGGGGUGUG